rnacentral:misc_RNA from 1 species
UCCGAGUUGUCCCCGGCAGUCCUUUUAGAGUCCCCGGCAUUACCCGCUGGCAACUAAAAGCAGGGGUUGCGCUCGUUGCGGCACUUAAGCCAACACCUCACGGCACGAGCUGACGACAGCCAUGCAGCACCUGUGCUAGCCCCUUACGGACACGGGCUUUCACCCGCUUUAACUAGCAUGUCAAACCCAGGUAAGGUGGGGAUGACGUGCCAAGGUUGGUU